UCUUUAUAAUUCAUAGAAACUACCCAUUGCGUUGUUUGAGUGUAUAACUUUUAUCGAAAAUCCAUCAUAACCUAUAACAUGGAAACACUGAUUUUAGUUUGCUGCAUUGGGAUAGUUAAUUAUUAAAGAAUUAUGACAACACGAUCGAGCAACGCUGAGAUAUAGAGGCUGAGAUAUAGAGGCUGACUGAGAUAUAGAGGCACAAUAGAGGCUGGGAUAUAGAGGCUGAGGCUCGUUUUACUUCAUUUGCUGCUCAUUAGGAUUUUAUAAAAAUACGCACAAAAAAAAAAAGAAUCUUUUUUAAUUGACAUAAAUAACAAAUAUAGUUAAAAAAAAUUAGCAAGAAUGUUAAUUUUUUUAAAAUCUUGUUUGCAGGGAGUUUUAAAAGAAAAAUUAUGUCAACAGUUUUAUACUUAUAAAAGGGUUCAAAGUUUACUUAUUUCUAAUAAAGUUAGCUUACAGUGUUCUCAUGCUCGCUUUAAUUUUUCCCUGGAUCAAUUAGUUAUUAAUAUAUAUAACAAAAAAUAAAGUUAUCUAUCUUUGGAGAUUGCAAAGUACAAGCACUCGCUUGUCGAACAAUGAAAAUUUAAAAUGGCGCGUGCCGCCUUCAUUAGUUUUCAUUUUUCGAACUAUAUUUUCUAUACUGCUUUUUUUUGUAUUUUUAUUGGAGUUCUGAUUAGUAAAGAUAUGCAACUAAUGAAGAAACACGAGUCUCAGCCUCUAUUUCCCAGCAUUGCUGUAUUGUUUUAUAUACAAGCAUUGAAAGAAAUUAUACUAUGCAUAGUUUCUUAAAAGAAGGAUAUUUUUCGUUAGUCAGAUGUAUGGUUGUGUGCGUCUUCAAACUCUUUGUAUGUCUAUAUUUCUGGUUGUAUAAGAAAAUAAUAGUGAAAAAAGCAUACCUAUCUGACACAACAAUUAUUGAGCAUAUAAAACUCAAAUAAAACACUUUGCUAGUUUAAAAAAAGAAAAAUUGAAAAAAGUAAUUUUUAAAACAUCUAGAAAAUCUGAGAAAAUAUGUAUAUAACGUUAUUUUAAUUUAAUAUUUUAUUUCAUUCUUGUUAAUAGUUUGUUACUAAUUACUUCUAACUACGCCCUUGUAAAUAAUUUGAUAUACGAAUAUAUAUUUUUUAGUUAUUAUUUAAAACGA